UUGUCAAACAAUUUGUGAGGUUUCCAUUUCAUAGGUAUACAAAUCACAUACGAAAUCAAUAUUUUGAACAGGUCACGGAACAAAUAAAAUUCGUCCAAAAAAACACUAAAUUAGUCUAUUACAAUCUUUAGACUACUACAACUCAAAUAUGCCUACUACAGUCUACUAUUACAAUACAUGAUAUGCUACUAUUUGCAUAUAGGCUUCACGACUUCACGCUUGGCUUCACAUUUCACCUAUGCAAAAAAUAAGAAAAAAAUAGUAGCCAAUGAGGGAACAAAAUAGUAUAAUAUGUACAGGUUGACGGUAUUAAUCGAUGAGAACCUUUGGAAGAAGACAUUAAAGCUGAGGAUGGAACCUAAUUAAUCAUGUUAUUCUGGAAAACACAACACGUAAAUAGUAUGACUAACACUAACCAAUAUGUGUUUAUGGAGUGACUAAAAUAUUCUCACUAGCUAGGAUUUUUUAAUGUAUAGUAUACUAACAUGUGAAACUUUAAUUAAAUUGAUCAUAGAAAUAAAAAGAACUAUAAGAAUGAGUUCAUUCAGGCAUGUCAAAUUUUAAGCACGAGCAGAACAGAUCUAAAAAACGAGAGCAUGCUCAUCAUGCAUCAGGAUUUUUAAUGGGGAAUGGUACUUGUUGUCUACAAAAUCAUGAUCAUCAUGCAUCAGGUUGACAAAUAUUCAUUAGAAUACACACCAACAUGAGGCAUGGGAUACAGCAGCAAAAGUUGUAGUACUAGUUCGACCCGACCGAAAAGCACAGUUGCGGCAGCAAGGUCACGCCAAAUACAAUAGCUAAACUAAGCAAGCACAAACACAUCAGGUACGAAACUGUUGCAUCAACCAUGGAAACAAUGAAAGGAUCCGACGAAUUUCCAUCAAACCGUGUCCUGGCAGGACUAACGAGCUCUUGAAUAUUACAAAGAUACGCAAAAUAAUUACAUACAGCAGGACUAGCAUCGAGCAAGCAUUUACAAGACACAUAUUACAUUCACAAAAAUUAUAAGAGUAUCAGGAUCAGUACCAUGUUAGCUUUAGUAGCAUGUUAGUUUUCCCUGCUCCAAGGUUGUCAUAAAUAAAAAACCCUUGUAAACCUGAAGAAGAUUAAAGAAGGCUAUUGUUGAAAGGGAGCAUUCUGCCAGAAAAUAGACAAAGCUGAAUUAAAAGCAACUAUACAAAGCUGAUGUAACAACAAAGGGAGCACUCUGCCAGAUGCAGCGAUGCUAUACAGAAACACAAAUAAACAUGAAGCACAAUAUUUAACAAAAAAUUACAAAUUUGUAUUAGGCCCAGCUUGGAAUAGGGGGUAAAUUUAUACUUCUUUCAUAUUUUUACAACUAUACAUCUCACCAGCCAUGUGUGAUUUUUUACUGGAAAUGACAAAUAGCUAAUUAGGCUGCAUUACACAACAGAACCGAGACGAAUGAGGUAAGAGGGAAAUCAACCCCCAUAUGGAGGCAAGAGACUGAGAGUUAUUGAUCCAAUUUCCUGGCUCGAGUAAGUAGAUUGUUAGAGACUGAUGAUGGAAUGGAGGACACUCACUAUGACUAUGAAUAUUUAACCAACAGAACUGGGUGGAAUUAUCUAGAAAAAGGAUGUUGUUGUUGUUGCUUUCCUAGUAUUUUGCAAUAUGGAAUUAUCUAGACAAGGUCUAGCUAGGGUGAAUACCAAAAGUUAGGCAUUAUUUGCUAUCGUAGAAGACAACAGAAAUAGGUCCCUAGAUUAGCCUGACAUAACAAAAACAGCACAUAACAGACUAGAUGCUUCUGUGGAGUGUAGCUAAGUGCUAAACCUAUGGAUCAAACAAACAAGGCCUGCCUCCCUUUCCACCAAGAAAUCAGUGGAAAAACAGGGAGCAGAAGCUCAACAGGACGCACCAAAUCGUCGAACUCCGGCUACCUACUCCAGAAGCAGCAACCCAUACACGCCCUGACACGACACCUCGCGGAAAAAUACUCCCUGGUAGCAGAAUGCGACACCAACAUGCAAGAGUGAGACUAAUCUAAAAGGAGUUUGUCGUACUGGUACAGUACUAACUCUGUUCGUAAACAUACGUAUUGUGUUGGCAGUUUAAAUUAAAUUGUCAAAAAGGGCUUAUAUUUAAAAAUGGAGGCGUUACUUAAUUAUUCUGCAGUGUGCUUGAGAUCACAUCACCGAGACUGACAGUCUGCUUUCCAUUAGACAAAACGUGAACAUUACUGAAUAUUACUAAAAAAUACUAGAGACUGAACGUGCCACGGCCACAGCUACAAGAUUCUUUGCAGCCUAUGACAAACACACAUAAAAAUUAGGCAUGUAGGAUAGUAUAACUUUGUUCGACAACCGCGACAACAAUCAACCGCAACCCAUGAAUUAAUUAAGUGGCUUAAAAUUGGCAACCACAGCACAUAAAUCAAGUCGCAUCAGGUGGACGGGUGUCUGAUACUUUCUUCUAUGAAUAUAUGAUACAAAAGCUUGUGCGUAUCCUAGAAAGAAAGAAAAUUCAAGUGGCAUCGAUUUGAAAUGCAGACAGACAGUGCCUUGCAAUUACAGUUUGAGCAUCAGAUAUGCAUCAACUAAGCAUGCAUGUGUAUACAGUGCAUGAAAAAAGGCCUGGUGCUCAGUUAGACAGGGACAAGCUACUAGCUACUGAACCCAACCAACAAACCCAAUCGCAGGCUAGACUAGAUGGACAAACACAAGUGUACCUCAAUCGCAGGCUAGACUAGACGUACGAACACAAGCGUAUGGCAACGGGCGACGGCGACGAACUCGGUGUGUGGACUCGGAUCGAGUGGUAGAAGAACCGAUUACAGCUUUAGGCGAGGGUUUUCAGCCGGAAUCACGCACCUGUGGAGUGAGGCCAUCCGUCGUCGCGAGCAGCGCUCCGCCUCGCCCCAUCGCCCACGCGCUCUUGCCACCGUGAAAAUUGCUGCUAUCACUUUAUAAGAAGCACAAAAUAAGAGUUCAGAAAAUUGACGGGGUGCACAAGCCAGCUGAGAUGCAACUCAUGUUUCGGUAAGGUACCUUAAGCUUCUCGUUCUCCGG
rnacentral:lncRNA from 1 species